AAAAAGAAAAAUGAAAUGAUAUGAAGAUCUUUCACUCAUAAAUUAACUGCGGUGUGACAAAAUUAGCCGUGACUGGCUCAAUGAGAGAAAUUUGUUCCUUCCAAAAAUUAUAAUAAAAAAGUCCCAUAUGUUGUAAAAGUUAAACGAAAAAUAAAUCGUUUCGAAGCAAGUCUUUGUUUCCUUUGUCAGUAGUAAGCUGUAGGGAUUUCAGGAGUUUACAC